UACGGAGGGUGCGAGCGUUGUCCGGAAUCACUGGGCGUAAAGGGCGCGUAGGCGGCUGGUGAAGGCUUGUGUGAAAGUCCGGGGCUCAACCCCGGAUCGGCACGGGCGACUCGCUGGCUGGAGCCCACUAGAGGCGGGUGGAAUUCCGGGUGUAGCGGUGGAAUGCGUAGAUAUCUGGAGGAACACCGGUGGCGAAGGCGGCAUCCUGGACCAACACUGACACUGAGGAGCGAAAGCCAGGGGAGCAAACGGG
rnacentral:rRNA from 1 species